rnacentral:rRNA from 1 species
UACAGAGGUCUCAAGCGUUGUUCGGAUUCAUUGGGCGUAAAGGGUGCGUAGGCGGCGCGGCAAGUCGGGUGUGAAAUUUCGGAGCUUAACUCCGAAACUGCAUUCGAUACUGCCGUGCUUGAGGACUGGAGAGGAGACUGGAAUUUACGGUGUAGCGGUGAAAUGCGUAGAUAUCGUAAGGAAGACCAGUGGCGAAGGCGGGUCUCUGGACAGUUCCUGACGCUGAGGCACGAAGGCCAGGGGAGCAAACGGG